rnacentral:rRNA from 1 species
UACAGAGGGUGCGAGCGUUAAUCGGAAUUACUGGGCGUAAAGGGCGCGUAGGCGGCUUUGCAAGUCGGGUGUGAAAUCCCCAGGCUUAACCUGGGAACUGCAUUCGAGACUGCAUUGCUAGAGUAUGGGAGAGGGAAGUGGAAUUUCCGGUGUAGCGGUGAAAUGCGUAGAUAUCGGUAGGAACAUCAGUGGCGAAAGCGACUUCCUGGACCAAUACUGACGCUCAUGUGCGAAAGCGUGGGGAGCAAACAGG